rnacentral:rRNA from 1 species
GAUGAACGCUGGCGGCGUGCUUAACACAUGCAAGUCGAACGAAGCACUUUAUUUGAUUUCCUUCGGGACUGAUGAUUUUGUGACUGAGUGGCGUACGUGUGAUUAACUCGUGUUUAACCUGCCUUGUACAGGGGGGGGACAGUUGGGAACGGCUGCUAAUACCGCAUAAGCGCACGUCAUCACAUUAUGCAGUGUGAAAAACUCCGGUGGUAUAAGAUGGAGCCGCGUUGGCUUAGUUAGUUGGUGAGGUAACGGCACACCAAGGCGAAGAUGCAUAGCCGAGCGGGGAGGGUGACCGGCUACAUUGGGAAUGAGACCCGGACUAAAAUCCUACGGGAGGGAGCAGUGGGGAAUAUUGCACAAUGGGGCAUAGCCUGACGCAGCCGCGCGGCGUGAGAGAAGAAGUAUUUUGGAAUGUAAAGCUGUAUCAGAAGGGAAGAUAAUGACGGUAACUGACUAAGAAGCACCGGCUAAAUACGUG